rnacentral:lncRNA from 1 species
CCUCGAAUAAAACAUCACACUCAAACCAACAGCACACGCAGUCACUCAUACACCGCAAAUCACCACGACCACGAUAUAGUUUACAAUGACACACUCGAACCAGGAACCAACAACAACUGCAGCUCCAUCAAAGCAGCCAUCGCAACCCUCACUCAGACAUGGCUCACAGCUUGACACCAGGAACAUGAACCCACUCCAGCUGCACCACAAUCAGGCCACUGUCGACCUUCUUCAGCUUCAGAAUCAUGUCCUGGACGACCUUGCCAUCCUUCCAUUGAACAUGACUCUCACCGCCAAGGUAGUUUACGCCAACCGGAUAGAUUGUCUUGAUUCUUGUUCCAUUAGUGGCAUGGCUCAGAUUCAACUUUGCAGCAUCGUAUAUGUCAGUUAUGUUGAUCUCAGCAACACCCAUGCUGUCAUCUGCUGUGAAUUUGUCUUCAUCAAAAACUUCCUGCAUGGUAUUAGCAAAUUCAGAAAUUAAAAAAAAAUCCUGGUCAUUGGAUAGUUAGAAAUGUUUGUGGUCAACUUGGUUCUUAUCUGCAGUGAUACCAGUGGAUGUAUGACAGAAACGGUUCAUAUCAUCCAUAUUUUUUAGAAAGGGGAAAUUCUGUUCUCGAAAAGUUUUACAUUAAUAAUCGUUAAUUUCAAAAACUAAAUGGUCUGUUGCACAUAUUUCCACAAUAUGUUUAAUUUCGGAGAGCAAAUGUGUUGGACCAAUUGAAAUAACUUACAAGGUGCACUGGCUUUGUAGGAUGUGUUACUGAGAGCUGCAGCACUUCGUUCCAGACUGGAUUGGGAUUCUUCUUCUGAACACUAGUCUUCACCUUCUGUACCAUUAAAUGAAAACUCCCAUCAGGCGAAUAUAGAAUAACAGAAAGGAAUAAAUUGAUUAGGCAUCCAUGACGUUGGAACUGAAGUCAACUGGAUAAAAUAGAACUAGCGCUUUCAGAAUCCUAAAAAAGUUUUUAGUGCACUAUAUUAUGCAUUCAGUUGGUAAUCAUGCCAUUCAGCAACGGUGGACCUAAGCGCUUGACCACACAAGCCAAUAAUACAGAAACUAAAAAAGAUCAUGAAUAACACGAAUGGAUGAAAGUUAUGUUAGCAAAAAAUAUCAAGUGCUACCCCCGGAAAAAUAGAAGGCCGGUAAGCAAUUCACUAGGUAAUAUGCCAUUUUGAUCCUGGAACGGUAUGCAGAUUACAGAGGUACUGCUUGCUUACAGUACAUGUUCAGGCUUAUCUUUGCAAACCUGUGCAGGAUCAGUGCCUGGUUAAGUAGAAAUGUUAUCACCCAGUUAUUAUUUGUUACUUCAAUGUGAAUUUGAUGCAGGUUUUGGUUUCAUGCUCUGUCCCCCAGUUCAAUGUUCCCCAAACUGCAGCAUAACCCUUUCAAAGGGCACGCCUGAUGGGGGCUGGUUAUGCGAAUCCAUGAGCAAGCUAGAACCGCAGUCAGUCGGGCACAAUUUCACCUCCUGGCAAUUUAUUGCCAGGAUUUCGACUCAUUCGUUGUUGAACAGAAGUAGAAAAUCAUGGCGCCGCGUUCAACAUCUGCCCAGAAGAUACCCAAUGGAUCGCUCGCCGGCCAAUCCACAUAAACAGAAUCGUGAAAAGUCGUAAAGCGAGCAGAUUCGCAGCCGAUACAGACAAACCGACGGGACACCACAAGGCAUCGGGAAGAUCAAUAAUUGUUGUGUCCACCCCCCCCCCCCCACCCCCCGAGAGGAAAUGCUGCGGAGAAGAAACGGGACGAGGCGGCGGAGGAGGAAGAGGGGGAGGGUGACCUGGCCGCCGUACUGGAGGACGACGUAGGGGUCGCUGGUGUGGGUGAGCGGGUCGCAGAUGGCCAGGUUGUUGCCCCGCACCACGCGGACGUUGAGCUUCCCGAUCACCUCCUCCUUGGACGCCGACGCCGCCAUCCCGCUCGGUUCGGUGGUGAGUGGGGGAGCUGAGGAAUGGGGACAAGUCAAGUCGAUGCGGGGCGGAGACUCCGACGCUGGGGGAGGGGGAGGAGGUGUUUGGUUGGAUGCGGCC